GGAUGUGAGGGCGAUCUGCCUGCGAAAUCUGUCACCCCAGUGAUUGCCAGGGUUGACUGUCUGAUCUGGCCAGGAGGCAGGCAUCCCCUUCCUCCCUCAGAGCUCCCUGUGUGUCUCUCCCUGUGCUCAGUUGAAGAGGACGGCCUUCCCCUGCUACCACCUCUGAACAAGCACUCAAGGUAAAGUGAGUGUUAUACCAGGCGAGCUAGCUGCUGGUUUAUAUCACAAUGAUAUCUUGAUUUCGUUUAUUUUUAUUUAAAAAAAUUCUUUUUGUA
rnacentral:snRNA from 1 species